GUGCCAGCAGCCGCGGUAAUACGUAGGGCGCAAGCGUUGUCCGGAUUUAUUGGGCGUAAAGAGCUCGUAGGUGGUUUGUCGCGUCUGCUGUGAAAACCCGAGGCUCAACCUCGGGCCUGCAGUGGGUACGGGCAGACUAGAGUGCGGUAGGGGAGACUGGAAUUCCUGGUGUAGCGGUGGAAUGCGCAGAUAUCAGGAGGAACACCGAUGGCGAAGGCAGGUCUCUGGGCCGCAACUGACACUGAGGAGCGAAAGCAUGGGGAGCGAACAGGAUUAGAAACCCGGGUAGUCC
rnacentral:rRNA from 1 species